UACAGAGGGGGCAAGCGUUGUCCGGAAUUAUUGGGCGUAAAGAGCGUGUAGGCGGCUCGAUUAGUCCGCUGUGAAAGUCCAGGGCUCAACCCUGGAAUGCCGGUGGAUACUGUCGAGCUAGAGUCCGGAAGAGGAGAGUGGAAUUCCUGGUGUAGCGGUGAAAUGCGCAGAUAUCAGGAAGAACACCCGUGGCGAAGGCGGCUCUCUGGGACGGUACUGACGCUGAGACGCGAAAGCGUGGGGAGCGAACAGG
rnacentral:rRNA from 1 species